UCCUACACAAACUCUAAGUAAGCCAAAACAAACAAAUAAACAAACAAAAAAAACAUCUACUGAAUCCCAUCUGGCUAAGCGGGAACGUGAUCGUGGUCGAGCGAAAACUAGAGUGAACAUUGGCAGGGCAUUUGAUUCCUGGAGGGAACUUCAUUCGGUUUUGGGGAUCAAAACCGACCCUGAAUUGGCGUUCUUCUUAUUGGACAGAACAGCUGCAGGCACCCAGAAAUGAAUGCAUAUUUAAUAAAGCCUAAUUCUACUGCACACUGAAGAAGAAAAAACAGCACUCUAAAGGUUCCUUUACCCCUCUGCCACCCUUGGAUUACCUUAUCUGCCAAGGAUUCAUGCUGUGCUGCCUUAGAAUUUGGCUAAAACAAGGUAUUUUAAAAAGCAGUAUAAUGUUGCUGCCUAUUUGGACCAACCUUUAUGUAAGUAUUGCUUCUAUGAUGCCUUCGGAUGCCCUCUUGGUAGGCAAAUUACUAGGUUUUGGAACUAUUCAGCUGUUCUGCAGAGUGAGCAGUAGUGUUGGUGCUGCAGACAUUCUCACCAGCCCACGUAUUUAAGAAAUUAAAGAAAUAGAUGAACUAAAAAAUAGAUGAAUUUAAAAUAAACUUGUAUAUCGCUUUUCACCACACACAUUGUUUCAAAGGAGCUUUACAGAAUUAUGUUUAUGUUGUAGAACAAUGGCAAACCCAUGUGGCAGACUUCAAGUGAACAUUCAACAUGAUCACACAGGAAAUCAACAUACUGCUACCGAUUUUUCUGGUACGCUGAAAUCGACCCCAUUCAUCCGAGUUCCUGACAAGCGCUAUCUCACAUCAGACAUUCAAAUGCGUUUACCUUUCCCUGUGACAUUACUGAUAGCGCAUUGUUUUAGCAGUCUCAGAGGGAUGUGUUCUGGUCUCAAGAAAACCAGGAAAUAACUGAGUUCACAUAAUCAAUGGCGAGCAUGAUUCAGAGGUUGCAUUUUUGCUCAAAAAUAAAAUGUUUACUCCACUGACAGUUAUGGUGAGGGUUGGGGCAUAUAGUUGAUAAAAUAUACAUUCCUGUUGACUGUACUACAUGUUUGACACAAAAAAAUUAUAAUUACUUUACAGUUUUUGCUGCCCCUCUGUGGAAAUUUUAUCUGGAAAAUGUGCCCAUGUGUUUAACAAUACCUCCAGCUUCAGCCACUGUUCAAAUGUCAGUAAGCACAGCCUGAUUUCAGCCGAAGAAUUUUCGACUUACUGUGGCCCAUUUCACAGUAAAAUCAGUCUGGAACAUUGUCACAAAUGGCUGCAAAUAAAUUUGCAAGGACAUGGAUAUCUCAGGUUCAAAUCAAAAUAUGUAACACAACCUGAAAAAUGUUUUUUAAAAAUAAAUUAAGCAAUUCUAAAACAUUCACAUAAUAAAUCAGCAGAGAACUUCUCUAGAGGUGUCACAGUCUGUCUCCCUCAUUCUUCUUCAAGGACUCUUAAUUUGAAGUUUUCCCCCGGACUCCAUUUCCCAGGAUUCACUGCGCUAAUCACUUCUAUCAGUUCGUCAUCAUCUGCACCUGACAUCUAUUCGCUCAUUAGUUCCUCAGUGUCUAAAUACCCUCUAGUUUUGUUAAGUUUUGUUAGUCCUUGAUGUGUUUUGUUAUGAGGUGUUAUGUUAAGUUUAGUUUGAAUGUUAAGAUUUAGUGUUUGUUCCACUUCAGUGAUUACUAUUGUUGAGCCUUUCUUCUGUUUCCAC